rnacentral:rRNA from 1 species
UACGAAGGGGGCUAGCGUUGUUCGGAUUUACUGGGCGUAAAGCGCACGUAGGCGGAUAUUUAAGUCGGGGGUGAAAUCCCGGGGCUCAACCCCGGAACUGCCUUCGAUACUGGGUAUCUUGAGUGUGGUAGAGGUGAGUGGAAUUGCGAGUGUAGAGGUGAAAUUCGUAGAUAUUCGCAGGAACACCAGUGGCGAAGGCGGCUCACUGGACCACAACUGACGCUGAGGUGCGAAAGCGUGGGGAGCAAACAGG